rnacentral:piRNA from 1 species
UGGCUGGUUCUGGCAGAGUAGCGAGAAGUA